rnacentral:rRNA from 1 species
CCUACGGGCGGCAGCAGUGGGGAAUAUUGGGCAAUGGGCGCAAGCCUGACGCAGCAACGCCGCGUGAAGGAAGAAGGCUUUCGGUUUGUAAACUUCUAUUCUCAGGGACGAAGCUAGUGACGGUACCUGAGGAAUCAGCCACUGCCAACUACCUGCCAGCAGCCGCGGUAAUACGUAGGUGGCAAGCGUUAUCCGGAUUUACUGGGUGUAAAGGGAGUGUAGGCGGGAAAGCAAGUCAGAUGUGAAAACCCUGGGCUCAACCUGGGGACUGCAUUUGAAACUGUUCUGCUUGAGUACUGGAGAGGGAGACGGAAUUCCUAGUGUAGCGGUGAAAUGCGUAGAUAUUAGGAGGAACACCAGUGGCGAAGGCGGGCUGCUGGACAGCAACUGACGCUGAGGCGCGAAAGCGUGGGGAGCAAACAGGAUUAGAUACCCCAGUAGUC